rnacentral:rRNA from 1 species
UGAGGAACAUGACCUUCGGCGGGGGAUAGCCGGCCCAACGGCCGGGUAAUACCGCGUACGACCAC